rnacentral:rRNA from 1 species
AUGGCCAUGGGUGCUGCGGCGACCGCGGCCGCCUGCUUCUCCUCUGCAUCCUCGGGCGUGUCUCGCUCUCGCAUCAGGGCGCAGGCGACGUCGUGGGCAGGAGGGGCGGAGGAGCUGGUGCGGUCGGGCGCGGUGAAAGCCGUCCGGCCGAGGGACGCGGUGGAGGUCAUGGGCUCAGAGGGGUUCCAGCUGCUGGAUGUCCGGCCGGCCUGGGAGCACGACCGCGCCGCCGUUCGGGGGUCCGUGCACGUGCCGCUGUUCAUGGCCGACGACGACAUGGGCCCAGUGACGCUGCUCAAGAAGUGGGUCCACCUGGGCUACAUCGGGCUCUGGACCGGGCAGUCCUUCACCAAGAUGAACGACCGCUUCCUCGACGACGUCGCCGCCGCCGUCGCCGGGAAGGACGCCAAGCUGCUCGUCGCAUGCGGCGAAGGCCUCAGGUCGCUGAUUGCGGUGAGGAUGCUGCACGACGACGGGUACAAGAACGUGGCAUGGCUCGCCGGGGGUUUUAGCAAGUCCGUUGACGAUGACUUCGCCGAGCUGGAGGGGGAGAGCAAGCUCCGGUACGCCACCAUCGGGGGAGUAUCCUACAUCUUCCUUCAGAUCUUGCUGCUGCUACGGGUGGUGCAGUGA